rnacentral:rRNA from 1 species
AACGAACGCUGGCGGCGUGGCUAAGACAUGCAAGUCGAACGGACAGGCCAAUCGGGUAACUGAGAGGCUUGUUAGUGGCGAAAGGGUGAGGAAUAGAUAGAUAACGUACCUUGGACUCCAGAAUAGCGUCAUACCCGCAAGGGUAUUUCCGAAAGGGGCGGUAAUGCUGGAUGAUGUAGUGGAUCGCAUGGUCUGCUACCAAAGAUUUAUCGGUCUUUGAGCGGUCUAUCUCCUAUCAGCUUGUUGGUGAGGUAAUGGCUUACCAAGGCGAUGACGGGUACCGGGGCUGAGAGGUUGGCCCGGCACAUCGGAACUGAGACACUGUCCGGACCUCCACGGAGGGCUGCAGUAACGAAUAUUGGGCAAUGGGCGAAAGCCUGACCCAGCGACGCCGCGUGUAGGAUGAAGUCCCUCGGGAUGUAAACUACUGUCAGGGUGAAGAAAGGUCGCAAGACUUGAUCUAACCCAGAGGAAGCAACGGCUAACUUCGUGCCAGC